AGCAGCAGGGGCUGUGGGUGUAACAAUGGUAUUGAUGUCCUCAUCAGGUAGCAAUAGUUUUCUAAGUAAUUUCAUGUUACAUAUGUUAUAAAUGGCCGGUAUUGUAGAUUAAAUUGUUUUCAACUAGUGAGCCCUAUCUAUUAGUUCUUAUUGUAUGAUGCAUUGACUGCCUCAAUUGGAAAAUGAUGACCUUGUCCAUCGUGAUGCCAUCACAUGUAUGGCCAAUGGCAGUGACCUCAAUGCCCCUGAUGAGGACAACCAUAUGGUGGAGAAAGGCGAUGACAACCAGUUUGUUCAGUUGCUACCGAACUGACUUUUAUCUACACUUUUGUUAAAAAAACAUAGGAAUUAGCCAUGAGAUGAAAUUUUAGAAUCGGAGUUGAGAAAUUCAAUCAUGUAUGCCUAAUCUAAACCUUAAUUUGGCUUCAUUGCACUUUGUUCCUUUUAAUAUCAUAUUCUUUCUUUGGACAUGGAUUAGCGUAUAUCCAUAAAAUUAUGAAACCGGAGUUGAGAAAUUCAAUCAUAUAUGCCUAAUCUAAACCUUAAUUUGGCUUCAUUGCACUUUGUUCCUUUUAAUAUCAUAUUAUUUCUUUGGACAUGGAUUAGCGAAUAUCCAUAAAAUUAUGCCUGUUUCAGUGGAAUAGCUAGAUGUGUAGUUUUUUAAGUAAUUUCAUGCUGCAUAUGUUGUAAAUAUCUAGUAUUGAAGGUUUAUCUGUUUUCAAAUAGCGAGCCUUGUUUAUUAGAUUUUAUUAUAUGACCAAUGCACUCUCACUUACUGCCUUCUUUUAAGAUGACGACCUCGUCCAUUGUGUUGAAAACACCUCUCUGGCCAAUGGAAGUGAUCUCAUUGCCCAGCCUGAGCACAACCAUAUGGUGAACGAGGAAUGUGAUGGCAACCAGCCUCUUCAGUUGUUAUUGUACUGACUUUAAUCUACAUUUAACAAUACUAGCUAUUUGCCCGUAUGUUGCAACCGGACUAUACAUAUUCCAAUAAUAUUAACAUCAAUCGUGUAUACCUAUAGGAUACUCAUGCAUAACAGACAACAUUUUUCUCCCGAAAAAAAACAAACACCAUUAUUGACUAUUGUUUCACCACUCAAUCACACUCUUCUUCUUUCACCACUAUUUCCACCUCUUCGUCUCCUUACUCCAAGUAGCCUCCCUAGUCCAAUCUAUCCAUACGGUUCUCAAUAGCGCAUCUGGGUUGCAUCCUCAACCACUUCCCCCCCUCACCCACACACACUGGAAUUUCAAGCACGCAACCAUGUAGUUGGGGUAUAUUUCACAAUGUGUUUGUCUUAGCAAGGCGUGGUUGGUGGAGGUUUUGAUAUUUCAAGAUUUCCUGUAUUGCAUCCUAAUUGGUGAUUAGAAAGAAGCCAAGGAUCAAUAGAGUUAUAUUAUUCCAAAGCAGAAACAGUAAAACAGAAAAAAAUAUUCUAGAGGUUAAAGAUUUGUACAAGUUCAACGAAGACUAAUUCAUGCUACCACAUCAAAUUCCUUUAGCAAGAUAAUACUUUUCCAAAAUACGGUUAGCAUCUAACUUUUCUAAAAGUUGUAGGACGGCUCCAUGAAAAUAAAAUGAGCAGUACUACAUGGACGAUAAUAUUGGACGAUUGCGGACAACAAUUAAAUGCAGAACGGCCGCUGGAAUCUCCCUGCUUUAGUUAAGAUUAGAUGAUUUGCCCUAUUUUUCUUUUAUCUUUUGAUCAUUUGCCCUAAUAUGUAUUCUAAUUAAUUCUUAAUUAAUUUAAUUCAAAGAAUCAACGUGGAAUGACCUUUGUGCCCCUGUGGUAGUUUUGCAAUUUCUAUGCCUAAUCUACCUGGUUCGACCCUUCGUAGUUCGUACUGAACCUGCUGCUCGUCCUGCUCGCUACUCUUAACACUGAUGCAGCAAGAACACGAAGCAGCGCUGCAGCUCAGCGGCCCGGCGGCUACUGCUGCCGCUCGGAGGCCAGGCAGUUCCCGCUGCUGCCCGACGGCUCGACUGCCCGCAGCUUCCUCUCCACCCCAGUGGCUCCCACUUCUGCUCGGCGGUCCGGCGGCUCCCGGUGAUGCUCGACGGCCCAGUGCCUCCCUCUGCACCCGGGAGGCUCAUGUUGCUGCUUGGUUGACGGCCGCUCCCUCUACUGCUCGUGCUCGGUGACACGGCACCCACCCGGCGACCAAGUGCCCUGUAUUUCCUUGCUCCUCUCGAUUCCUCCGCAAGGCAGCAUGUAGCUUACAUCAGGGGAGAGAUUUAGUGUUUGACCAGUGCAUUUUGAGCAUUUUCCUCUGAUCCCUUACUCUGAACUUGUGCAUAGAAUUUUGAGAGAUCCCAUUAGCCCAUGUAAGCAUAGGUUCUGCAUCAGUUACUAAUGUUUCUGUCUUGAACAGGAAUACAUGGACAAUCAGUUAAACGAUUUUUUUGCCUGUUAGAUAGGAGUCAUAUCUCAUUCAAUAGAUGACUCUGUGUUCACAUCUUAGAAUUAAUGCAAAUUUUCACACAAAAUAAAUGAUUCAGAGUUCACAUCUCACAAUUUAUCACAAGUUGCCACACAAAACAAAUAAAUGAUUCAGAGUUCACAUCUCCUAAUUUAAAAUAAGUCAUCACAUCAUUGAAAUCAACCUAUCAUCUUAAUGCAAUAAAAUUCUAGUGUUUUUUCUUCCUUAGGGUCAAUUUCUUCCUGGAUGCUAUAGAGCUUGAAGGCAUGUCAAAAAGAGUUGCUGGAGAAGCACAUUCUUUUUGUUCAAUGUGUUGGUCAAUCACAGGAUGAGACAUUCACGCUUUGUGGAGAAACUUGUCAAAGAGACCCAUGACAACAUAUUAGUCACACCCAUCUGGAGCGGCAGCAGCCGUUGCAGGCUUUUGUCCUUGCCACCGUUGUCACCGUGGAACAUCGCGACUCCUGCAAAGUUGCCGGAGUCGCCCCGCCUUGCCCCGCCGUGAUUGCUGGAGUGGUUGUGCCCAGAUGUGACUACUUGUGGCUGCCAGUCUGCUUCUCGCCCUGGUCCAUAGCGGUGGUGGUGGUGGCUCCGGCGAUCUUGUGCUCAUGAGGACGGUGCAAAGUUGAUGGCCUGCUGCCUUUUUACCAUAAAAGAGAAGUUUAUGGCCUUAUACAUAAGAGAUUUGGGAGAAAAUACAAAGAUGAAAAACACACUGCAUUGGAUUUGUUCCAAGGAGUGCCACUACAACAACAAGAAAGGGUACACAGAUAUCGUACAACCACAAUCUGCCAUUUUAAGUCAAGACUCAUAUGGAAGAGAAUUUCUCUCAACCUACUAAAGAUGGACAACCUAUCUCUGCAACUGAGGUUAUAUCUGAUGUGCUCACUCAGCACACCAAGAAGCUUAGGUUUCUUCAGCAUGUUGGGAUCCAGCAUGUGCGUGAGAGAACCAGUGGUACCAACCUUGAAGCGCAACUGGCAGCAGAGAAGAAAGAGAACGCAGAGCCUGGUAGGUUGUCAAUACCUUGACUACGAAGGUAGAAGAAUCAGGACAAGCAAGGGUCAGACAAGAAGAAGCAAGCUGAGAUGGAUGCAAAAGUUGACCUUUUGCUAAGCCAGAGGUGAUCAAGUUGAGCUACAGGGUAAGGUGGUCGUUGAAACACAAUAUUGUUGUAAGGUGAUGGCAAUAUGUGUUCUUUUGCUGGUGUCGUGCUUUUGUAAGGUGAUGGCAAUAUCUGGUAAUGCUUUUGCUACUGCAAACUGCAUGCAUUUUGUUUGUAGAUAUGAAUGCAAGCAUUUUACCGUAGGUAGUAUUCGGCACUAGAGUAAAUGUAGUUUCAUAUUUAUGUUGGAUGCGAACAUGUAAUUUGAUGCUGUAACUUAAUUUAUGUUGUCAUAUAUGUGUCGUGAUCUGUUGCUGGAUCAGAACCUUCA